UAUGCGUUCCUCGGACG
rnacentral:sRNA from 1 species